rnacentral:rRNA from 1 species
GACGAACGCUGGCGGCGUGCUUAACACAUGCAAGUCGAACGGUAAGGCCCUUCGGGGUACACGAGUGGCGAACGGGUGAGUAACACGUGGGUGAUCUGCCUGCACUUCGGGAUAAGCCUGGGAAACUUGGUCUAAUACCGGAUAGGACUCCCGGCUUCAUGGUUGGGGGUGGAAAGCUUUUGCGGUGUGGGGUGGGCCCGCGGGCUAUCAGCUUGUUGGUGGGGUAAUGGCCUACCAAGGCGACGACGGGUAGCCGGCGUGAGAGGGUGACCGGUCACACUCGGCCUGAGGUACGGCCAAGACUCCUACGGGAGGGAGCAGUGGGGAAUAUGGCACAAUGGGCGCAGGACUGAUGCAGCGACGCCGCGUGGGGGAUGACGGCCUUCGGGUUGUAAACCUCUCUCAGCACAGACGAAGCUCAAGUGACGGUAUGUGCAGAAGAAGGACCGGCCAACUACGUGCCAGCCGCCGCGGUAA